CCUACGGGAGGCAGCAGUGGGGGAUAUUGGGCAAUGGGCGCAAGCCUGACCCAGCAACGCCGCGUGAAGGAAGAAGGCUUUCGGGUUGUAAACUUCUUUUCUCAGGGACGAAGCAAGUGACGGUACCUGAGGAAUAAGCCACGGCUAACUACGUGCCAGCAGCCGCGGUAAGACGGAGGUGGCAAGCGUUAUCCGGAUUUACUGGGUGUAAGGGGCGUGUAGGCGGGGACGCAAGUCAGAUGUGAAACCCACGGGCUCAACCUGUGGACUGCAUUUGAAACUGUGUUUCUUGAGUACUGGAGAGGCAGACGGAAGUCCUAGUGUAGCGGUGAAAUGCGUAGAUAUUAGGAGGAACACCAGUGGCGAAGGCGGUCUGCUGGACAGCAACUGACGCUGAGGCGCGAAAGCGUGGGGAGCAAACAGGAUUAGAUACCCGGGUAGUC
rnacentral:rRNA from 1 species